CCUGUGCUUAUCCAUUUGCAAACACGGGAAAUGAUGACAGUGGUUGGAAGCUUUGAAGAGACUGGGGGAAGGGGAAAGAGAGAAGCCAGAAAGAAAAGCAUUGGGGGCUAAAAGAGACCUUGUCCAGAAAAGACUGAUAAAUUCUUCUUUUCAGAUUCCUUGAUCACUGUGCUGGAACAAUGAUGCCCGCCCUGAAGUCUCCUGAUCAGGGGGCACUGCUCUCACAGGGACCAAAGGAGAAGGGAGAAGUCUCCGCCACAGCAACUGUGCUACUUGUCAAAGAGGCAACACUAAAGUGCUUAGGACCUUGGUUUGGAUCCCACAGGAGGAACAAGGUGCAGCAGGAAAAACCCUUAAACUGUCAAGUCUGAACUUUGGGCAACAUCUUCAAAUAACAGUAGGAAUAUGUUUGACACACACCCUGUGUUGAAAAUUGCCACUAACUUUGUGAAUCUUGUAGCAGUUUUGAACUGCAUACCAACACUUUGCUAUCUCGGUGCAACAGGCUCUGCUGGUCUUGCCUAAUGCUGUUUGGAAUCACUGGAAGCCCAUUCCUCAGUUUCAGUCUCCUUUCAGUCUCUCCUCCUCUAUAUGUUAACAAACAUGCUAAAAAAAUGGGAUCAAAGCAGUACUUGCAGUCAGAUCACCUGGAUCAUUCAUUUUUGUUAAAAAUUAAAUAUGUCUUAAAUGGCUCAUUUAUCCUGAGGGUUUUUGGUUUUUUCCCUUUCUACCCAUUUCUCAUGCUGAAGGACACCAAUGCUGUAAAGUGCUCGAACUUACUGCUGAGUUUAUGGAUGCAGACAGUAAUGUCACUUGGCUUUUUAGGCCCUUUUUUUAGGCUCCUAACACUGUACAAAGGAGGAAAGUGUUGUUUACCAUAUUUUACCUGUGGCGAAUUGUAGUACUUGCACUGUGGAAUGACUGAGCUGGGAAGAGUACUAAAGCCUCUGGCAGGUAUAUUGCAUUUCCAGUGAUUUCUGUGAGCAUAUUCAUGUGCUUGUAGUUAAGUAAAAGCUUUACCACUUCCCCUGAUCUGAAACAAUCCUCCCUCCUCCUUUCCUCCUCCUAAAGCCCAAAUCAAAAAUGCUUACCCCGGAUUGUUUGCUGAAACUAGACUGAUAAAAAAAAAUAAUAAUAAUAAAAAAAGGGCAUGAAUGAACAUGUGAAACGGGCUGUGGAGUAUUAGCAGGGCUUGUCUUUGUGGGCUUGAAAAGCCCAUGACAAUGAGCUCCUCCACUGGGAGUGGAGAGGAGCCCACAUGCAAAGGAGGGUCUUGGGCUCCGUGUUUCAUUAAAGGAAGGUUUCAGCCUUUUCUCUUGGAAAAAAAAAAAAGCUUUGAAAAUGGAAAGCAACACAAACUGAUCAUUAUGGUUGAAAGCGCCAUCAUUAAAAAAUCUCUCGUCAUUCACUGGCUCCUGACAGCUGGUCGCUGGGGCCUGAAUAAACGCAGCCAGCACCACGUGAAUUUUGGGGAAGAAGCUCCAU